CAAGUCGAACGAGAAAGUGGAGCAAUCCAUGAGUACAGUGGCGUACGGGUGAGUAACACGUGGGUAAUCUACCUCUUAGNUGGGGAAUAACUUUGGGAAACCGAAGCUAAUACCGCAUAAGCUCGAGAGAGGAAAGCAGCAAUGCGCUGAGAGAGGAGCCCGCGGCCGAUUAGCUAGUUGGCAGGGUAAAAGCCUACCAAGGCAGAGAUCGGUAGCCGGCCUGAGAGGGCACACGGCCACACUGGCACUGAAACACGGGCCAGACUCCUACGGGAGGCAGCAGUGGGGAAUCUUGCACAAUGGGGGCAACCCUGAUGCAGCGACGCCGCGUGAGCGAUGAAGCCCUUCGGGGUGUAAAGCUCUUUCGUCAGGGAAGAUAGUGACGGUACCUGGAGAAGCAGCUGCGGCUAACUACGUGCCAGCAGCCGCGGUAAUACGUAGGCAGCGAGCGUUGUUCGGAGUUACUGGGCGUAAAGGGUGUGUAGGCGGUUGUUUAAGUUUGGUGUGAAAUCUCCCGGCUCAACUGGGAGGGUGCGCCGAAUACUGAGCGACUAGAGUGCGGGAGAGGAAAGUGGAAUUCCUGGUGUAGCGGUGAAAUGCGUAGAUAUCAGGAGGAACACCGGUGGGUGUAGACGGCUUUCUGGGACCGUAACUGACGCUGAGACACGAAAGCGUGGGUAGCAAACAGGAUUAGAUACCCUGGUAGUCCACGCCCUAAACGAUGCAUAUUUGGUGUGGGCAGUUCAUUCUGUCCGUGCCGGAGCUAACGCUUUAAAUUUGCC
rnacentral:rRNA from 1 species